GUGAAUUAUUUGCGUGUACCACGUGCAGUAGCAUACUAAUGCACCACAUGAGCGAAAAGAGAGAACUCAUGGCAAGCCGCGGGCUUUGAGAGGUUAGGCGAUCGCCAUCUGAACUGAGGAUGGUUGUGUACAAUAAAGUUUUCGAGCGACGAUGCAUAUGUCACGUAGAAGACACAGGAAAUCACGAAACUAAUAGAUCACUGGUGAUGUUUUCGCGUAACGCUUCAGUGUUAUAACGAAAAGGUGUUGGGCGCUGAUUUGUGAGGGUUCUUAUACUAAGCUUUGACGCGGCUUUCCUGUCACUAUCUGAUUAUUGUUCCAAUGCCUGUGACAUACAGGAUGUUUUGUCUACCCUAUUACUGUUUCUGUAAUAUUCCCGCUUUGCUCCGUUAAAGCGUGCGGCUUUGGUGGGUCGUACGAGUUGAACGAUCUCGUUAUCUUCAUCUUCGGUGAUAUUUUAGGCUUCAUUUUGGGCAAUCGUCCUGCGGACUGGUGGAGAAAUUGGUGCCGUUGGUAUUU